GGGGAUUUAGCUCAGCAGCAUAAGCGCCUGCCUUGCAAGCAGGCAGUCGUGCAUUCAAUCCCUG
rnacentral:tRNA from 1 species